GGAGUAUUAUGCUAUUAGAUGCCCUGUAAAGUAGUCCUAAGUUCCUCAUUCACUUUGGUUUUGCUUUUUAUAGAGUGACUGUCGUACUUGGAGUUGGAAACCUCACAUAGUGCUAUAAGAAAUGAGCAAAGGCAUCACAAAUCUGAGACAGUGUCUACCCCCAAGACAACUUACGUGAAUGAAACCUGAACGGAAAUAAAUAUUAACAAUGAAAACAUCCAUAGGAAUCAUGCUUCUCCAGGAAGGCAAGCUAUGUUGCAGUGGUAAUGCCCUGCAUCAACAACUGUACAUGCUUUAGAGACCUGGAGAAAUAAUUACAGCGGUGUGGUAUUCUGACUUCUGCUUCUGUGAAGAUCUAACUGAAUGUCUCGAGGAGGUCAUUUUUAUGGACUACUAAAGGAGGCCUUGGAGAGUGCUGUUGUGGAUGUGGAUGAGGGUGACUCAUCUGGCUAUAGAGCUGGAAAUGGAAAUGUAAUAUUAAAGAAAAUAAAUAACAAGGCUGAAAAGAGAAUUAAAUGAGGAAAUGAGGCGUGAAUGCGUGAGACAGAGGUUAGUCUACUGCAUCAUCUUCCACCAUCUUGAACUUCCAAAUGGGAAUCUACUGUAUAUUGGGAAGGAAGAAAGGGAGAACGAAAGCAGUGAGUAUUACAAAAGCUUGUUUAUUAGAUGCUUUAACUCUGUAACUCUUUUGUUUUUU